AUGAACCGUCCAGCCCCUGUGGAGAUCUCUUAUGAGAACAUGAGUUUUCUGAUAACUCACAACCCCACCAAUGCGACUCUCAACAAGUUCACAUAGGAACUUAAGAAGUACGGAGUAACAACUUUGGUUCGAGUUUGUGAUGCUACAUAUGAUAAAGCUCCAGUUGAAAAAGAAGGAAUCCACGUUCUAGAUUGGCCGUUUGAUGAUGGAGCUCCACCCUCUAAUCAGAUAGUAGAUGAUUGGCUAAACCUGUUAAAAAUCAAAUUUCGUGAAGAGCUAGGCUCUUGUGUUGCAGUGCAUUGUGUUUCAGGAUUGGGAAGGGCUCCUGUGCUAGUCGCACUUGCAUUGAUUGAAUGCGGAAUGAAGUACGAAGAUGCUGUUCAAUUCAUAAGACAAAAAAGAAGAGGAGCAUUCAAUUCCAAACAGCUGCUUUACUUGGAGAAGUACCGACCUAAGAAGCGAUUACGCUUCAGAGAUACCAAUGGGCACUGCUGUGUUCAGUAG
rnacentral:lncRNA from 1 species